rnacentral:misc_RNA from 1 species
GAUAAGAACGCAGCGAAAUGCGAUAAGUAGUGUGAAUUGCAGAAUUUAGUGAAUCAUCGAAUCUUUGAACGCACAUUGCGCCCUUUGGUAUUCCUUAGGGCAUGCCUGUUCGAGCGUCAUCUACACCCUCAAGCACAGCUUGGUGAUGGGCGCCUGUCCCGCCCCCCACGGGGGCGCGGACUCGCCUCAAAUGCAUUGGCGGCCGGCGACCUGGCUUCGAGCGCAGCAGAAACGCGUACUCGGGGACCGGGCGCCCGCUCCCAGAAGCCAACCCACCCAGUUUGACCUCGGAUCAGGUAGGGAUACCCGCUGAACUUAAGCAUAUCAAUAAGCGGAGGA